rnacentral:misc_RNA from 1 species
GAUGAAGAACGUAGCGAAAUGCGAUACUUGGUGUGAAUUGCAGAAUCCCGCGAAUCAUCGAGUCUUUGAACGCAAGUUGCGCCUCAAGCCAUUAGGUUGAGGGCACGUCUGCCUGGGCGUCACAUAUCGUUGCCUGAUGCCAGUUUCCUCGUGAUGGGUGACUGUGCAGGGCGAAUGAUGGCUUCCCGUGAGCAUUGUUGCCUCAUGGUUGGUUGAAAAUUGAGUCCUUGGUAGGGAGCGCCGUGAUAGAUGGUGGUUGAGUGACGAACGAGACCCAAUCAUGUGAGACCCCUACCGAAUUUGGCCUUCAUGACCCACAUGCGUCUUUGGAACGCUCAUGACGAGACCUCAGGUCAGGCGGGGCUACCCGCUGAGUUUAAGCAUAUCAAUAAGCGGAGGA